rnacentral:rRNA from 1 species
ACUUAAGCAUAUCAAUAAGCGGAGGAAAAGAAACCAACAGGGAUUGCCCUAGUAACGGCGAGUGAAGCGGCAACAGCUCAAAUUUGAAAUCUGGCGCAAGCCCGAGUUGUAAUUUGUAGAGGAUGCUUCUGGGUAGCGGCCGGUCUAAGUUCCUUGGAACAGGACGUCAUAGAGGGUGAGAAUCCCGUAUGUGACUGGCUUGCACCCUCCACGUAGCUCCUUCGACGAGUCGAGUUGUUUGGGAAUGCAGCUCUAAAUGGGAGGUAAAUUUCUUCUAAAGCUAAAUACCGGCCAGAGACCGAUAGCGCACAAGUAGAGUGAUCGAAAGAUGAAAAGCACUUUGGAAAGAGAGUUAAAAAGCACGUGAAAUUGUUGAAAGGGAAGCGCCCGCAACCAGACUUUGCGGCAGUGUUCGGCCGGUCUUCUGACCGGUUUACUCGCUGUCGUGAGGCCAUCAUCGUCUGGGACCGCUGGAUAAGACCUUAGGAAUGUAGCUCCCCUCGGGGAGUGUUAUAGCCUCUGGUGAUGCAGCGCGUCUCGGGCGAGGUCCGCGCUUCGGCAAGGAUGAUGGCGUAAUGGUUGUCGGCGGCCCGUCUUGAAACACGGACCAAGGAGUCUAACAUCUAUGCGAGUGUUCGGGUGUCAAACCCCUACGCGUAAUGAAAGUGAACGGAGGUGGGAACUUUUUGUGCACCAUCGACCGAUCCUGAUGUCCUCGGAUGGAUUUGAGUAAGAGCAUAGCUGUUGGGACCCGAAAGAUGGUGAACUAUGCCUGAAUAGGGUGAAGCCAGAGGAAACUCUGGUGGAGGCUCGCAGCGGUUCUGACGUGCAAAUCGAUCGUCAAAUUUGGGUAUAGGGGCGAAAGACUAAUCGA